UCCGUAGGUGAACCUGCGGAAGGAUCAUUAAAAAAGUACGCCUAGCAAAGUAGUAAUACCUAGCUAGGUUGUAUCUAACAACCUGUUUACCUAUACCUGUUUCCUUCCCUGAUUUAGGGUGCUCUGUCUGCUUGCAGGCUGGAGUUACCUUUCAGGGGUAACUAAAAAAUUGUCUUGUUGUAUUGUCUGAAUAAAAAAAUAAUAGUUAAAACUAUCAACAACGGAUCUCUAGGUUCUCGCAUCGAUGAAGAACGCAGCGAAAUGCGAUAAGUAGUGUGAAUUGCAGAUUUCAGUGAAUCAUCGAAUCUUUGAACGCACAUUGCGCCCUCUGGUAUUCCGGAGGGCAUGCCUGUUCGAGCGUCAUCAAAAACCUCAAUCUCUGAUUUAUCAUUGGUUGGUCUUGCACUGGAGGCGUAAGCUUCCUCUGCGAAAUCCAAUGGCGAUGAGCCACGCAACCAAAGCGUAGUAAUUUUUACCGUAAUGGAAACGUGAGCACAUCCGCCGUAACCCCCCCAUUCUAAGUUUUUGACCUCGGAUCAGGUAGGGAUACCCGCUGAACUUAAGCAUAUCAAUAAGCGGAGGA
rnacentral:rRNA from 1 species